GCUUCGGGCAUGGGGGGCUCGUGAGGCCUUUCCCCGAGCAACAUCUCCACGGCUGAUAACAUUUGGCUGAACUUUCGGAUCUUAACCUCCCUCCUGACUCUCGGCAGUCAAGCCCGGCAUAAACGGAUCGGAGGAAGAGACACGCAGUGGGAAGACAAUAGGAUGAUGUCCAUGAGAAUUCAGCUCCUAUUUCAGCUCUCUUUAUCCUCCAAAGAGAAAUGGAGAAGAUACCACAGACUACAUGCAUUCCAGUCUCCUGCCCUUGUGUGCAUUUUACAGGUGAAUUC
rnacentral:lncRNA from 11 species